UGGGGAAUAUUGCACAAUGGGCGCAAGCCUGAUGCAGCCAUGCCGCGUGUGUGAAGAAGGCCUUCGGGUUGUAAAGCACUUUCAGCGAGGAGGAAGGCAGUCGUGUUAAUAGCACGGUUGAUUGACGUUACUCGCAGAAGAAGCACCGGCUAACUCCGUGCCAGCAGCCGCGGUAAUACGGAGGGUGCAAGCGUUAAUCGGAAUUACUGGGCGUAAAGCGCACGCAGGCGGUUUGUUAAGUCAGAUGUGAAAUCCCCGCGCUUAACGUGGGAACUGCAUUUGAAACUGGCAAGCUAGAGUCUUGUAGAGGGGGGUAGAAUUCCAGGUGUAGCGGUGAAAUGCGUAGAGAUCUGGAGGAAUACCGGUGGCGAAGGCGGCCCCCCUGGACAAAAGACUGACGCUCAGGUGCGAAAGC
rnacentral:rRNA from 1 species